CCUUGCACGGAAAACGAUUACAAACUCUGGUCUCCGUCUGAUGAACGAGGCAACGAAUGCCUUUUGGGGCACAAAACGGUCUUCAAAAGACGAACUCCUCACGCAACAUGUUUCAACGGGGAAGAUUUUGAUCGGCCGGUCAUGGUCUCCAAUUGUUCUUGCACCCGAGAAGACUAUGAGUGCGAUUUCGGCUUCAAGCUGAGCGAAGACCUGUCACUAGAGGUUUGUGUCCCAGAUCCUGAAUUUGCUGGCAA